AAGUCGUAACAAGGUUUCCGUAGGUGAACCUGCGGAAGGAUCAUUAUCGAAUUGCAAGAACUUGGUUGUCGCUGGCUCUCUAUUGAGCAUGUGCACGCCAAGUUCAAACUCUUCACUUUAACCUCCUGUGCACUUUUGUGGAUUUGCAGAUGGAUAACCUGUCAAAGUAACAUUUGGUCUUGGAGUUUGCUUAUUUAUUUGAGCUUUCUCCUUCAUCUAUCUGUGAUCCAUGUCUUUUCAAUAAACUAUUAAACAACGUAGAAUGCUUAAUGAGUUGGGAACUUUUGUAACCCUUCUUAAAUUUUAUACAACUUUCAACAACGGAUCUCUUGGCUCUC
rnacentral:misc_RNA from 1 species